ACCCAGGGUUAAUUGCAGUGUGAAAAGCCCUAUUAAGCAUGUUAAUGCCUUUUUCUGCAUGACCAUAUUUUAGAUCCCUUAUUCCAACCCCAUACCUAAACUUAACUACUACUGUACCUUAACUACUACUGUAGCAAAUUAGGAGUUUACUGAGGCAAACUAAAGUGUGACCGUACAAAUACCAUGACCUACUACUUCCACCUAGAUUCUGAAGUGCGCAUUCGAUGGACACUUUACAAUCCCAUGAGGCCACGGGAGAGAAUUUAUAAAUGGCAGUGAAGCGAUGCAUGUGACAGUAACAACAUGGCAGAUGUAGUACGUAUUAAUUUCAUUCAUACUACCCAUAUUCACACUAUAUUAUAGUCAUGAAGUAAAUUGAAAUUCAAAUUUAGUACCUACUCAGACAGUACGCGAUUUCGGACACACCGACUGAAUCUUAGAACUUCUUCAAACAAAUCAUUUAAAAAUCAUUGGAAAAUGAGGUGAUAUUGCAUAUGCAUAUGCAUGUAAUCCUAUUGUAGAAGACUCCCAAACAAUAUUAGGAACCUUAAAAAUGGCAUAAAUGGAGCACUUUAAUAACUUCAGAUUAUUUCUCUUCAGAUUCAAUUCCGAAACCCAUCAUCAGUGUUAGUGAUGACCAGCUCAUCAUAUCAUGUGAAAUACCACUUUCAGUCAGAACUGAUUUCAACUGUAGUUUCUACACUGAGGAUGAUGUUCUUCUGUAUCAACGUGUCUCUCAGUGGAGUCAGUCUGGAAAGAAUCUUUGUAUGUUUUAUGUAAGUCGUAGUGAACUCUUCACACGAUCAGUGAACAGCAGACAGCUGAUCUGUGUUUAUUCACUCAAGACUGAACCUGCGAUCAGAUCACCACGCAGUGACACAUACACCAUCAGAGAUCUUCCUCAGGCCAAGUUGAGAGUGUCUGCUUCAGUUAUUCUGGAAACAGACACAGUUGAGCUUAGCUGUGAGAAUACUGAAGAUCUGAAGAUGGAGAAGUGUUACUUCAACAUAAAUGGAAGAGAAAGUAACUCAAAACAGAGCUCAUCAUGUCAGCUCUCACUCACUGGAUCUCAGAUCAGUGUUUGGUCUGGAGGUCAGAGUUCAUCUGUGAGAAUAAGCUGCUUCUACACUGUGACUUUGUCACAAGUUCAAAAACCAUCUGCUCACUCUGAUCCAGUGACAGUAACAGUCCAGAUUUCAACAUCAACCAUUGAACAUACGAAUACAACAGCCACGACAACCUUUUCAACAUCAAUAUCCCCUCAAAAAACUUCACAACUGGACACUGUCAUUUCCACGUCUGAAACCCCGGUGUACCGCACAACAGGUAACUUACUGCAUCUUUUCUAAAUAUAAGUAUUAUGCCAUAUAUAAGGAAAAUUCUUAUUUUUAUGCAACUUCAUCAAAUACUGAAACACUGCUGUAUAAAAUCCUCAUUAUGCAUCAGUCAAGUGUGAUUUU
ensembl:lncRNA